CCUACGGGUUGCAGCAGUGGGGAAUCUUGGACAAUGGGCGAAAGCCCGAUCCAGCAAUAUCGCGUGAGUGAAGAAGGGCAAUGCCGCUUGUAAAGCUCUUUCGUCGAGUGCGCAAUCAUGACAGGACUCGAGGAAGAGGCCCCGGCUAACUUCGUGCCAGCAGCCGCGGUAAUACGAAGGGGGCUAGCGUUGCUCGGAAUGACUGGGCGUAAAGGGCGCGUAGGCGGUUUAUGCAGUCAGAUGUGAAAUCCCCGGGCUUAACCUGGGAACUGCAUUUGAGACGCAUAGACUAGAGGUCGAGAGAGGGUUGUGGAAUUCCCAGUGUAGAGGUGAAAUUCGUAGAUAUUGGGAAGAACACCGGUGGCGAAGGCGGCAACCUGGCUCGAUAUUGACGCUGAGGCGCGAAAGCGUGGGGAGCAAACAGGAUUAGAUACCCCUGUAGUC
rnacentral:rRNA from 1 species